AACGAACGCUGGCGGCAUGCCUAACACAUGCGAGUCGAACGAGACCUUCGGGUCUAGUGGCGCACGGGUGCGUAACGCGUGGGAAUCUGCCCUUGGGUUCGGAAUAACUCGCCGAAAGGCGUGCUAAUACCGGAUGAUGACGUAAGUCCAAAGAUUUAUCGCCCAAGGAUGAGCCCGCGUUGGAUUAGCUAGUUGGUGAGGUAAAGGCUCACCAAGGCGACGAUCCAUAGCUGGUCUGAGAGGAUGAUCAGCCACACUGGGACUGAGACACGGCCCAGACUCCUACGGGAGGCAGCAGUGGGGGAUAUUGGACAAUGGGCGAAGGGCUGAUCCAGCUAUGCCGCGUGAGUGAUGAAGGCCUUAGGGUUGUAAAGCUCUUUUACCCGGGAUGAUACUGACCGUACCGGGAGAAUAAGCUCCGGCUAACUCCGUG
rnacentral:rRNA from 1 species